rnacentral:rRNA from 1 species
GACGAACGCUGGCGGCGUGCUUAACACAUGCAAGUCGAACGAAGAGCGAUGGAAGCUUGCUUCUAUCAAUCUUAGUGGCGCACGGGUGAGUAACGCGUAAUCAACCUGCCCUUCAGAGGGGGACAACAGUUGGAAACGACUGCUAAUACCGCAUACGAUCUAAUCUCGGCAUCGAGGAUAGAUGAAAGGUGGCCUCUACAUGUAAGCUAUCACUGAAGGAGGGGAUUGCGUCUGAUUAGCUCGUUGGAGGGGUAACGGCCCACCAAGGCGAUGAUCAGUAGCCGGUCUGAGAGGAUGGACGGCCACAAUGGGACUGAGACACGGCCCAGGAUCCUACGGGGAGCAGCAAUGGGGAAUCUUCCGCAAUGGACGGAAGUCUGGCGGAGCAACUCCGGGUGGGUGAUGACGGCCUUCGGGUUGUAAAGCUCUGUUAAUCGGGACGAAAGGCCUUCUUGCGAAUAGUGAGAAGGAUUGACGGUACCGGAAUAGAAAGCCACGGCUAACUACGUG